GGCGAUUGCUACAUACCGAGAGAGGAAAAAGUUCAACAUCUGCAGAUGCAAUACUUGGACACCUCGCCAGAAUGACAUCAGAUCAGACAGUUCA